rnacentral:miRNA from 2 species
CAGUGCAAUAGUAUUGUCAUUG